AUAGAUACCUCAUAGAUAUCCCAUAGACACCCCAUAGACACCCCAUAGACACCCCAUAGAUCUGCCCCAUAUAUCUGCCCCAUAACUGCCCCAUAGAUACCCCAUAGAUAUCCCAUACACACCCCAUAGAUCCGCCCCAUAGAUCGGACCCAUAGAUCUGCCCCAUAACUGCCCCAUAGAUACCCCAUAGAUAUCCCAUAGACACCCCAUAGAUCCGCCCCAUAGAUCUGCCCCAUAGACACCACAUAGAUCUGCCCCAUAGAUAUCCCAUAGACACCCCAUAGACACCCCAUAGAUCUGCCCCAUAGAUCUGCCCCAUAGAUAUCCCAUAGACAGCCCAUAGACACCCCAUAGAUCUGCCCCAUAGAUACCCCAUAGAUACCCCAUAGACACCCCAUAGAUCUGCCCCAUAGUUCCGCCCCAUAGAUACCCCAUAGAAACCCCAUAGCUCACAGCUGCCCCAUAGAUACCCCACAGCUGCCCCAUAGAUACCCCAUAGGUACCCCACAGACACCCCACAGCUGCCCCAUAGACACCCCACAGCUCUGCCCCACAUCCGCCCCACAUCCGCCCCACAUCCGCCCCAUAGAUCUGCCCCACAGCUGCCCCAUAGACACCCCACAGCUGCCCCAUAGGUACCCCAUAACACCCCACAGCUGCCCCAUAGGUACCCCAUAGACACCCCACAGCUGCCCCAUAGGUACCCCAUAGACACCCCAUAGAUCUGCCCCAUAGAUAUCCCAUAGACACCCCAUAGACACCCCAUAGAUCUGCCCCAUAGAUACCCCAUAGACACCCCAUAGAUCUGCCCCAUAGAUAUCCCAUAGACACCCCAUAGAUCUGCCCCAUAGAUCUGCCCCAUAACUGCCCCAUAGAUACCCCAUAGAUAUCCCAUAGACACCCCAUAGAUCCGCCCCAUAGAUCUGCCCCAUAACUGCCCCAUAGAUACCUCAUAGAUAUCCCAUAGACACCCCAUAGACACCCCAUAGACACCCCAUAGAUCUGCCCCAUAUAUCUGCCCCAUAACUGCCCCAUAGAUACCCCAUAGAUAUCCCAUACACACCCCAUAGAUCCGCCCCAUAGAUCGGACCCAUAGAUCUGCCCCAUAACUGCCCCAUAGAUACCCCAUAGAUAUCCCAUAGACACCCCAUAGAUCCGCCCCAUAGAUCUGCCCCAUAGACACCACAUAGAUCUGCCCCAUAGAUAUCCCAUAGACACCCCAUAGACACCCCAUAGAUCUGCCCCAUAGAUCUGCCCCAUAGAUAUCCCAUAGACAGCCCAUAGACACCCCAUAGAUCUGCCCCAUAGAUACCCCAUAGAUACCCCAUAGACACCCCAUAGAUCUGCCCCAUAGUUCCGCCCCAUAGAUACCCCAUAGAAACCCCAUAGCUCACAGCUGCCCCAUAGAUACCCCACAGCUGCCCCAUAGAUACCCCAUAGGUACCCCACAGACACCCCACAGCUGCCCCAUAGACACCCUACGGCUCUGCCCCACAUCCGCCCCACAGCUGCCCCAUAGGUACCCCAUAGACACCCCACAGCUGCCCCACAGCUGUCCCAUAGAUACCCCACAGCUGCCCCACAGCUGCCCCAUAGGUACCCCACAGCUGCCCCAUAGGUACCCCAUAUACACCCCACAGCUGCCCCAUAGAUACCCCAUGGACACCCAAUAGAUCUGCCCCACAGGUACCCCACAGGUACCCCACAGGUACCCCAUAGAUACCCCAUAGGUACCCCACAGCUCUGCCCCACAGCCGCCCAUAGGUACCCCAUAGAUACCCCAUAGGUACCCCAUAGAUACCCCAUAGGUACCCCACGGCUCUGCCCCACAUCCGCCCCACAUCCGCCCCAUAGACACCCCACAGCUCUGCCCCAUAGACACCCCACGGCUCUGCCCCACAGCUGCCCCAUAGGUACCCCAUAGACACCCCACAGCUGCCCCACAGCUGCCCCAUAGAUACCCCACAGCUGCCCCACAGCUGCCCCAUAGGUACCCCACAGCUGCCCCAUAGGUACCCCAUAGACACCCCACAGCUGCCCCAUAGGUACCCUAUAGAUACCCCAUAGACACCCCACAGCUCUGCCCCACAUCCGCCCCACAUCCGCCCCAUAGACACCCCACAGCUCUGCCCCACAGCUGCCCCAUGGACACCCCACAGCUGCCCCAUAAGUACCCCAUAGACACCCCACAGCUGCCCCAUAGACAC
ensembl:lncRNA